GUCCUCCAGCUGGCGCGAGCGCUGCGCCCGCCCUAGUCCCCGCCGCCUGGCUCCGGCCCGCGCCCUUCUCGCCGCGCACCUGAGCCGAGCUCCCCGGCGGCCGCCGAGCCGCGCCGGAGCUCCGGUUCGCUUCCCGCGCGCCGCCGCCAACGCCGCCCACGCCGCUGCCGUUCGUGCGGGGCCGCUGCCCAGGUGCCGCGGGAGGCCGGGUCCGCGGCCGCCGCUUCAGUGGCCCCGGCUCCCGCCCCGCCAAGGACGCCGGCCCGCGAGGAGGCAACUUUGCGUUCCCGCCGCCUUCCCGGCUCGCCCGCGGGCGCCGCUCGCCUGCCGGAGCCCGCCCGCCUGCCCGCCUUCCGCGCGCGCUCACACUCGCGCCUCGCACACGGCCGCCCCCCGCACCGCCCCGCCACGCACACAGCGCUCCGCGCCCCCCGCCGCUGCCCGAGGCUUCCGCGCGCCGCCCUAGCCCGCGCCGCCCUGGCCGCGCCCGCCCCGUCCCAUCUCGUUCCAGCGGGGCGCCGCGGUUCCCAGGUCAGCGGCCGCCCGGGCCCGGCUGAGAGGUGCGGAGCGCAGAGCCCGCGGGCGGGUUAGCGCCCGGCGCCGGAGACCGGAGGGCUGGGGGAAAGCGGCGCCGGCCCUGCGUCCCCAGCCGACCCGGGCGCGGGGCGCCACAGGCGUGGGGCGCGGGGCAGCGGGCGCGGGGCGGCGCCGGCCCCGGGCGGCUCUCCCACUAGGGGUAGCUGUUGCCUGAACGCCGGAGCGCUCCCCUCUCGCCGCUUGCCUCGCCCAGCACAGCCCCGGCCGCCGGGCGCACCCGUCCCGUUCGUCCCCGGACGUUGUUCUGUACCCCGGGAACGUCGAGACUGGAGCGCCCGAACUGAGCCACCUUCGUGGACCCCGAGCGCGGCGGCGCGACUCACCGCGGAGGCGCCCGGACGCGUCAAUUGCGGGGACUUGUUUGGAGCGGUGGGGCCGGAGCCCAAAUCCGAAGCCGCCGCCACCAGCGUCCCGUGCGCCUGCGGCCCCGGGGACCAGCCGCCGAACUUCUUCUCAGGACGGAGACAGCGCUCGCCGCCCGGGCCGAGGCCCAGCCGAAUAGGAGGCUCUGAUCCACACUCUAGCCCCAGGGACGUUCAGGGAAGCAGCCCUUCCUUAGGGCUGUCAGCUGCCUUGGGGACCUGUUGCUGUGUCGUGGGCCCACAGACUGCACUCCAUACGUCAGGACGCCAGAACACUGGACAAGGCUCGAAGGCCCAUUUGGCUCCCUCAGCCUCUUGUGCAGACCCUCUCUCCUCCGGGGCAGCCCCUGUCUCUCCUUCCCAUCUCUCUCCAAGGCUGCACCCUUGGCUCACCUUAGACCUGGCUUUUCCUACCUGUUGCCCCUACUGUCUUAUCCUGUCCCAGUGGUCAGGAGGUAGAGUACCGGCCAAAGGCCCAGCUCUACCUAUGACUUAGAGGAGCACCAGGCAUCUCCUAGAGGUCCUGGUCCCCAGGGGCCUGGCAGGCUCUACUGGGGGGGAAGCAGAGUUAGAACUCGGGCUGCUUCUCCUGCCCCGCAGCCUGGCUGGGCCUCACCCGCCUCCCUUUCUGCCUGCCUUCUUACAACUCCAGCAGGGGGCGGGCAGGGGAAAGAAAAGGAGGGACAAGUUGGAUGGGGUCCAUCUGGUGUCCAGGAGCAAAUUGGAGAGAGGCGGGGAGGAG
ensembl:lncRNA